UACGUAGGUGGCGAGCGUUGUCCGGAUUUACUGGGCGUAAAGAGCGCGCAGGCGGUCGUAUAAGUCGCGUGUGAAAGCCCCCGGCUCAACUGGGGAGGGUCACGCGAUACUGUUCGACUCGAAGGCAGGAGAGGGAAGUGGAAUUCCCGGUGUAGUGGUGAAAUGCGUAGAUAUCGGGAGGAACACCAGUGGCGAAGGCGGAUCUCUGGGCCUUACCUGACGCUCAGGCGCGAAAGCUAGGGGAGCGAACAGG
rnacentral:rRNA from 1 species